GUGUUUUCGGAACCGGUAUUCUUUUUGAGAACCGGGAAUUUCGGUACUUUUGUAUUACGGAACCGGGAUUUCCCGGUUUUUUCGGUAUUUUCGGUUCUUGCUAGUUUUUGUCAUAGAAAACAAGGGUUAUGCUUCAAAAGUAAACUAAAAUUCUGUAUUCAAGUAACUUUAAUUCGAAAUUUUUUCUUCUAUUUUCUGUUCUCAUACCUAGUAGUAGGUAAUUAUAUAUAAAUCAUCAUCACAGGCCUUUGCGUCUAUUGCAGACGAUUUAAGCAUUGCUGUUUAGACAACGGGUUUGGUGACUGUGGAGGCCGAUGCGUGAGCGGCACGACCUCCCACAUUUUUGGCAGAAAAAGCUCAUGCCACCUGAGGUUCCAGUCCCGAUUUGCUUUCUGCGACACCUUCUGCUAUCUAACGUAGUAAACCAGGCUUGGUCGCAUAGCUUUCUCCCCUCCACAACACGCUUGCGCCAUCCAUCACGGUCUUCAGCUAAAGUUUCCCAGGCAUGGUGGUCGAUUUCAAAUGCUGACAUGUCUCGCUUAACACAGUCUUUAAAGCGCAGCAUCGGUCUUCCAACGUUCCUUUUAGCAUACGCAACUGCACCAAGCAAGACACGUCGAGGUAUUCUAGAGGAUUCCAUCCGGUGCACAUGCCCCAGCCACCGCAAGCGUCUCUGUUUGAGACUCUGUUUGAGUUAUAUAAAUCAGACUAUAAUUAAUCAUAGUGUUAUGUUAUUGUUAGGUACUAAAGUAAGUAUUUACUGUCAAUUAAAGGGUAAAAAUAAGGCAGUCAUCUUAGAUUCCUUAACAUUUAGAAUUAUCUUAAACAUUUUUAAAGAAAACAAAAUUAAACUAUUUUCUAUUCUCAUACCUAGUAGUAAGUAAUUAUAUAUAAAUCAGACUAUUGUCAAUCACAGUGUUAUUCUUAGGAUCUUAAGUAUUAACUGUCAAUAAAAUGGUCAAAAUUAGGUAGUCAUUUUAAAUUCCUUAAACAUUUAGAAUUAUCUUAAACAUUUUUCAAAAGCAACAAAAUUAAACUAUUUUCUAUUCUCAUACCUAGUAGUAAGUUAUUAUAUAUAAAUCAGACUAUAAUCAAUCACGGUGUUUUUGUUAGGUUCUUAAGUAAGUGUUAACUGUCAAUAAAAUGGUAAAAAUUAGCCAGUCACCUGAGAUUCCUUAAAUAUUUAUAAAUAUCUUGAAAUUUUUUCAAAGAAAACAAAAUUAAACUUUUUUACCAAAAAAUAUUUAAAAAUAAUAUCUCUUUCCGUCCUAGCAACAGCGAGCGAGUGUAGGUAGUUAUUGGUAAUAUCGAGCGCACCAUUAAUUUCGCGCGUUAUUUAUUUUAACGCUGAAUUAUUCACGUUAGUUUUGAAUGUUUGAAUAGUAGAAAGUGUGGAAAAUUAAAGUAAGAGUAAAUAAGUAAAUAGUAGUGUGAAUCGCUUAAUAAAAAUAAAAUUCCCGAAAGUACCGAAAGAACCGGGAAUCAAAUUUGGUUUCCCGGUUCCAUUUUACUGACAAAAGAACCGGGAAUUCCCGGUACUUUCGAGACCGGGAUUUCCCGGUUCUGAACCCUAGUGCCCACGAACAGAGCUCGUAUCAGAAGAUUUAUAGAGAUGUACAAAGGAAUGGCGUUAUGUUAAGUAGAAGUAAUUUUUUAAAUACAGGAGGCAAACGAGCAGAGCCCAUGAACAGAGGUCGUAUCAUAAGAUUUGUAGAUAUGUACAUAGAAAUGGCGCUAUGUUAAGUAGAAGUAUUUUUUUUAAUAUAGGAGGCAAAUGAGCAGAGCCCAUGAACAGAGGUUGUAUCAUAGGAUAAGUAGAUAUGUACAAAGAAAUGGCACUAUGUUAAGUAGAUUUUUUUUUUUAAUAUAGGAGGCAAACGAGCAGAGCCCACGAACAGAGCUCGUAUCAGAAGAUUUAUAGAGAUGUACAAAGGAAUGGCGUUAUGUUAAGUAGAAGUAUUUUUUUAAAUAUAGGAGGCAAACGAGCAGAACCCAUGAACAGAGCUCAUAUCAUAAGAUUUGUAGAGAUGUACAAAGGAAUGGCGUUAUGUUAAGUAGAAGUAUUUUUUUAAAUACAGGAGGCAAACGAGCAGAGCCCAUGAACAGAGGUCGUAUCAUAAGAUUUGUAGAUAUGUACAUAGAAAUGGCGCUAUGUUAAGUAGAAGUAUUUUUUUAAAUAUAGGAGGCAAAUGAGCAGAGCCCAUGAACAGAGGUUGUAUCAUAGGAUAAGUAGAUAUGUACAAAGAAAUGGCACUAUGUUAAGUAGAAUUUUUUUUUUAAUAUAGGAGGCAAACGAGCAGAGCCCACGAACAGAGCUCGUAUCAGAAGAUUUAUAGAGAUGUACAAAAGAAUGGCGUUAUGUUAAGUAGAAGUAUUUUUUUUAAUAUAGGAGGCAAACGAGCAGAACCCAUGAACAGAGCUCAUAUCAUAAGAUUUGUAGAGAUGUACAAAGGAAUGGCGUUAUGUUAAGUAGAAGUAUUUUUUUAAAUACAGGAGGCAAACGAGCAGAGCCCAUGAACAGAGGUUGUAUCAUAAGAUUUGUAGAUAUGUACAUAGAAAUGGUGCUAUGUUAAGUAGAAGUAUUUUUUUAAAUAUAGGAGGCAAAUGAGCAGAGCCCAUGAACAGAGGUUGUAUCAUAGGAUAAGUAGAUAUGUACAAAGAAAUGGCACUAUGUUAAGUAGAAUUUUUUUUUUAAUAUAGGAGGCAAACGAGCAGAGCCCACGAACAGAGCUCGUAUCAGAAGAUUUAUAGAGAUGUACAAAAGAAUGGCGUUAUGUUAAGUAGAAGUAUUUUUUUUAAUAUAGGAGGCAAACGAGCAGAACCCAUGAACAGAGCUCAUAUCAUAAGAUUUGUAGAGAUGUACAAAGGAAUGGCGUUAUGUUAAGUAGAAGUAUUUUUUUAAAUACAGGAGGCAAACGAGCAGAGCCCAUGAACAGAGGUCGUAUCUUAAGAUUUGUAGAUAUGUACAUAGAAAUGGCGCUAUGUUAAGUAGAAGUAUUUUUUUAAAUAUAGGAGGCAUAAGAUCAGAGCCCAUGAACAGAGCUCGUAUCAGAAGAUUUAUAGAGAUGUACAAAGGAAUGGCGUUAUGUUAAGUAGAAGUAUUUUUUUUAAAUAUAGGAGGCAAACGAGCAGAACCCAUGAACAGAGCUCGUAUCAUAAGAUUUGUAGAGAUGUACAAAGGAAUGUAUGACCUAUUAUUCACCUCGUAAAUUAUUUGCAGGUGACUAAAUAAACACCCUGUAUAUAUUUGUUGUUGUAUCAACAAAUCAAGCAUUUACAUUAAAAAAGUGAGUGACAUUUAGUUAAGUGGAACUGCUGAUGAAGACCAGACGGAACACCUCAACUACGCGUAUUUCACGUUUGGCGAUAUCUUCUUCGUUGAGAUUGUUCUGCAAGUUAUUUUUUAAGCUUCAUUUUAGUCAAGAUCUAUUUCUGAUAAUGGAUCCCAGGAAUAAUGGAUGAAACUCUUCAAAUAUUUUACAUAUAGUAUCUUUUUAUAUUUGCAUUUAAACAGUGCUAUUUGGUGAAACGUGUUCAUGAAGAUUAUAAUAUAAUUUCUCCUUGACAAGUAUUUUACGAGUUAGGGCUUAGGUAUAUUAUAUGGGCUUACCUAUGGGCUAUUGUUUUUCAUUCAAUAGUUUACAUAUGUGAAAGAGAAAGUAUAACAAUAUGCUUGUUAGACUAAAAUAGCUUUAGUUUUGUUAAUUUCAAAAACUUAGUAGGUGAUAAUUAUAACAUAGGUAUAGAAUCUUCAAAAAUAAAAUAGUAGAUACAAAGCAGGUGUUAUUGGCCCGUCUUUAUAUAUAGAAAAUCGAUGGCAUGAUUCCUAGGAACAGAUCUUCGUAUGUGUUAUAGUUUCAAACUUUCCCAUACUGAACGAUCUAAAUAGGCCACCAUGUAUACCCUACGGAACAUUUUAUUUCGUUGGAUAAAUUUAGGGUGUAGGGGAGAAACUACCCAAUUAUGAGCUACUUACUGAAAACUAUCAUUAAUAGACAAUUGUAAGGAUAUUUAACAUUGCCAAAAUAAGGUUAAAGGUGCCCUCUAGUAGUACUUAGUCGAUAUUGUGAUACAAUGAAUGGUAUUAUAAACAUUUUUCUUUUUUCAUAUACUAUGGACAUUCCUCGAUGGCACCAAGCUGCAACUGGAAAGCGAUGAUCACACGGCAAAUAAAAUCGUGAAGACUGUAGCAGCCACGUCUAAGGAGGAUGAAUGUAUCCACAUUCAAUAUUUUAUAUUUAUUUUUUGUUUGAUAUGUAAAAAUGCAUGUCAAUAAGGUGGCAAACUAUUAUUAACAGAGACCGGAAUUAUUGUGGCAUUCUUGAACUGUCAUAGAGAGUUCUCAUUUAUCGACUUCGGGUACACAUAUAUCGAUACAACGUAGAACACAAAAUAUUAAAAAGUUAUAAAGUUAAUGGAUAUUUGACUGUAAAAGAAGUAACUGCUUUUUUGCAUUUCUUUUUACUUAUUAAAAAAUAGCUCUAUAGUUAGGGAGUACAAGUCCAGUAAGGGUUGCUAGAUAGCAUCUCUCCAGCAACUCUUACUGAGUUUCAACAUAAUUACUUAUAUUUUCAAGAAAUGAGAGGGGUAAAAAAUUAUAACUAACCAUAUUAUUCUCAAAAUGUUGAAUUGUUUUAAGCAUGACAUCAGUGGAAUACAUUUUGAGCGCUGGGAUUCGGUGGUUAACAGUCAUAGUCGGUCUUUCGCAUGUAUUGCCGUUAUUCUUUAAAAACGGAUGGGAAAGUUACUUACAUUUUAUUCACAAGAAAUGCAAAGUAAUUUAAUCAUUCAAAUUUUGAAAUAUUUUAUCACCUAGGAAUGUAAAAUUAACGAUGACGACGACUUGUGAUGAUUUUGAAGUUUAAAUAUUUUUUGGCGUUGGUGUGGUAAUUAUACAUUAAUUCAAAA